rnacentral:rRNA from 1 species
GAUGAACGCUGGCGGCGUGCCUAAUACAUGCAAGUCGAGCGAACGGACGAGAAGCUUGCUUCUCUGAUGUUAGCGGCGGACGGGUGAGUAACACGUGGAUAACCUACCUAUAAGACUGGGAUAACUUCGGGAAACCGGAGCUAAUACCGGAUAAUAUUUUGAACCGCAUGGUUCAAAAGUGAAAGACGGUCUUGCUGUCACUUAUAGAUGGAUCCGCGCUGCAUUAGCUAGUUGGUAAGGUAACGGCUUACCAAGGCAACGAUGCAUAGCCGACCUGAGAGGGUGGUCGGCCACAUUGGAACUGAGACACGGUCCAGACUCCGACGGGAGGAAGCAGUAGGGAAUCUUCCGCGAUGGGGGAAAGCCUGACGGAGCAAAGCCGCGGGAGUGAUGAAGGUCUUCGGAUCGUAAAGCGCUGUUGUUAGGGAAGAACAUAUGUGUAGGUAACUGUGAACAUCAUGACGGUACCUAAUCAGAAAGCCACGGCUAACUACGUG